rnacentral:rRNA from 1 species
GGCCGGGUCGAGCGGUCCAUCGUUUCGGUGCGUACUGCUUCCGAUCUGGCCUUCGCCUCCCGUGUGUGCGUGCGCAUGGCGCAUGUGCCCUUCACUGGGCGCGUGUGGCCGGCGCACGAGCCGCGGGUCGUUUACCUUGAAAAAAUUAGAGUGUUCAAAGCAGGUUUGCAGCCUGAAUAGAUUAGCAUGGAAUAAUAGAAUAGGACUACGGUCUUAUUUUGUUGGUUCUAAGACCGCAGUA